rnacentral:rRNA from 1 species
UAGGGAAUCUUCGGCAAUGGACGGAAGUCUGACCGAGCAACGCCGCGUGAGUGAAGAAGGUUUUCGGAUCGUAAAGCUCUGUUGUAAGAGAAGAACGAGUGUGAGGGUGGAAAGUUCACACUGUGACGGUAUCUUACCAGAAAGGGACGGCUAACUACGUGCCAGCAGCCGCGGUAAUACGUAGGUCCCGAGCGUUGUCCGGAUUUAUUGGGCGUAAAGCGAGCGCAGGCGGUUAGAUAAGUCUGAAGUUAAGGCUGUGGCUUAACCAUAGUACGCUUUGGAAACUGUUUAACUUGAGUGCAAGGGGGGAGAGUGGAAUUCCAUGUGUAGCGGUGAAAUGCGUAGAUAUAUGGAGGAACACCGGUGGCGAAAGCGGCUCUCUGGCUUGUAACUGACGCUGAGGCUCGAAAGCGUGGGGAGCAAACAGGAUUAGAUACCCUGGUAGUCCACGCCGUAAACGAUGAGUGCUAGGUGUUAGACCCUUUCCGGGGUUUAGUGCCGCAGCUAACGCAUUAAGCACUCCGCCUGGGGAGUACGACCGCAAGGUUG